rnacentral:rRNA from 1 species
GGUUCAUUCAAAUUUCUUCCCUAUCAACUUUCGACGGCUGGGUCUUGGCCAGCCAUGGUGACAACGGGUAACGGAGGGUAAGGGCUCGACCCCGGAAAGGAGCCUGAGAAACGGCUACUACAUCCAAGGAAGGCAGCAGGCGCGCAAAUUACCCAAUCCCGACCGGGGAGGUAUUGACAAUAAAUACUGAUACAGGGCUCUUUUGGGUCUUGUAAUUGGAAUGAGUACAAUUUAAAUCCCUUAACGAGGAACAAUUGGAGGGCAAGUCUGUUGCCAGCAGCCGCGGUAAUUCCAGCUCCAAUAGCGUAUAUUAAAGGUGUCGCAGUUAACAAGCUCGAAGUUG